CCUACGGGGGGCAGCAGUAGGGAAUCUUUCACAAUGGGCGAAAGCCUGAUGGAGCAACGCCGCGUGCAGGAUGACGGCCUUCGGGUUGUAAACUGCUUUUAUAAGCGAGAAAUAUGAUGGUAACUUAUGAAUAAGGAUCGGCUAACUACGUGCCAGCAGCCGCGGUCAUACGUAGGAUCCGAGCAUUAUCCGGAGUGACUGGGUGUAAAGAGUUGCGUAGGUGGCAUAAUAAGUAGCUAGUGAAAUCUGGUGGCUCAACCAUUCAGACUAUUAGCUAAACUGUUAAGCUCGAGACCGUUAGGGGUAAGUGGAAUUUCUAGUGUAGGAGUGAAAUCCGUAGAUAUUAGAAAGAACACCAAUAGCGUAGGCAGGUUGCUGGGACGGUUCUGACACUAAGGCACGAAAGCGUAGGGAGCAAACGGGAUUAGAUACCCGAGUAGUC
rnacentral:rRNA from 1 species